rnacentral:rRNA from 1 species
UACGGAGGAUCCAAGCGUUAUCCGGAUUUAUUGGGUUUAAAGGGUGCGUAGGCGGCUUUUUAAGUCAGGGGUGAAAGACGGUGGCUCAACCAUCGCAGUGCCUUUGAUACUGAUGAGCUUGAAUGAACUUGAGGUAGGCGGAAUGAGACAAGUAGCGGUGAAAUGCAUAGAUAUGUCUCAGAACACCAAUUGCGAAGGCAGCUUACUAAGGUUUAAUUGACGCUGAGGCACGAAAGCGUGGGGAUCAAACAGG